rnacentral:rRNA from 1 species
AGAGUUUGAUCCUGGCUCAGAUUGAACGCUGGCGGCAUGCCUUACACAUGCAAGUCGAACGGCAGCGCGGGAGCAAUCCUGGCGGCGAGUGGCGAACGGGUGAGUAAUACAUCGGAACGUGCCCAAUCGUGGGGGAUAACGCAGCGAAAGCUGUGCUAAUACCGCAUACGAUCUACGGAUGAAAGCAGGGGAUCGCAAGACCUUGCGCGAAUGGAGCGGCCGAUGGCAGAUUAGGUAGUUGGUGAGGUAAAGGCUCACCAAGCCUUCGAUCUGUAGCUGGUCUGAGAGGACGACCAGCCACACUGGGACUGAGACACGGCCCAGACUCCUACGGGAGGCAGCAGUGGGGAAUUUUGGACAAUGGGCGAAAGCCUGAUCCAGCCAUGCCGCGUGCAGGAUGAAGGCCUUCGGGUUGUAAACUGCUUUUGUACGGAACGAAACGGCCUUUUCUAAUAAAGAGGGCUAAUGACGGUACCGUAAGAAUAAGCACCGGCUAACUACGUGCCAGCAGCCGCGGUAAU